rnacentral:lncRNA from 1 species
CUCUCUAUUUUCGGUAUCAUGGGACCAACUAGUGCCACUUGUAACUUAGGUUUUCCUUACACCAGUGGAUGAAGAAUCCAUGCAACAAGUAUAUGUAUGUUGUCAAACAUAUCAUUAAUGGCAUUUGACUUUAACGCCAUUUCUGCCGAAUCUAGAGUUGUAGUUGAACCACUGAAUAAAAAGUGGCAUUGAUUAUUACAGAGAACACAACCAUAUCCAGAGAAGAAA